rnacentral:rRNA from 1 species
UACGUAGGGGGCUAGCGUUGUCCGGAUUUAUUGGGCGUAAAGAGCGUGUAGGCGGCCAGGUAGGUCUGCUGUGAAAACUCGAGGCUCAACCUCGAGACGUCGGCGGAAACCAUCUGGCUAGAGUCCGGAAGAGGAGAGUGGAAUUCCUGGUGUAGCGGUGAAAUGCGCAGAUAUCAGGAAGAACACCCGUGGCGAAGGCGGCCCUCUGGGACGGUACUGACGCUGAGACGCGAAAGCGUGGGGAGCGAACAGG